rnacentral:misc_RNA from 1 species
AACGGUCUAUACCUGCGGUACCUGCGGAGGGAUCAUUAUUGAAUGUAACUUGGAGUUUACUGUUGCUGGCUUUUUCACAAAGGCAUGUGCACGUAGCUCUGAAUACUAUUCAUCCACCUGUGCACCUUUUGUAGAGAGUUCUAGUAGGAUUGACUUGUGUUGAUUUGAAAAGACUUUCUAUGUUCUUACAAACUAGUUAAAGCAUGUUUUAGAAUGUAUGUUUUAAUGGGACUUGAUUGA